GAUGAACGCUGGCGGCGUGCCUAAUACAUGCAAGUCGAGCGAACGGACGAGAAGCUUGCUUCUCUGAUGUUAGCGGCGGACGGGUGAGUAACACGUGGAUAACCUACCUAUAAGACUGGGAUAACUUCGGGAAACCGGAGCUAAUACCGGAUAAUAUUUUGAACCGCAUGGUUCAAAAGUGAAAGACGGUCUUGCUGUCACUUAUAGAUGGAUCCGCGCUGCAUUAGCUAGUUGGUAAGGUAACGGCUUACCAAGGCAACGAUGCAUAGCCGACCUGAGAGGGUGAUCGGACACCCUGGAACUGAGAAACGGUCCCGACUCCUACGGGAGGACGCAGUAGGGAAUCUUCCGCAAUGGGCGAAAGCCUGACGGAGCAACGCCGCGUGAGUGAUGAAGGUCUUCGGAUCGUAAAACUCUGUUAUUAGGGAAGAACAUAUGUGUAAGUAACUGUGCACAUCUUGACGGUACCUAAUCAGAAAGCCACGGCUAACUACGUG
rnacentral:rRNA from 1 species